UGCGAUCAUAUGUGAUACAUGCUCUUUGACGGUAUAUAACUGCUCUGUACACCCCACUUCUUCGGUGCCCUUCCUUCCCUAGGGAAGGAAGGUCCCGGGCCAUGGUCCUCAAAAGUUGGCUCAUAAUAAACUCACCCCAAUUUUAAUUUAUAGGUUGAUUAUGGAUUCUUUACGUUGACAUUUCUUGGCGUAGUUGCGGCAGGAUUUCAGAGAAACCCACCAGAGACCACCUGUAAUCUACACUGAACCAGCAUUCGGUACCAAUAGGGGCCUAUUAAGCCCCCCAGAUCACUGCAUUCUUCAGGUGACCCUGGUGAUUUAAAUGAAACCA